rnacentral:rRNA from 1 species
AAUCAACGCUGGCGGCGUGCCUAACACAUGCAAGUCGAACGAGAAAGUGGAGCAAUCCAUGAGUACAGUGGCGCACGGGUGAGUAACACGUGACUAACCUACCCUUGAGUGGGGGAUAACUGAGGGAAACCUUAGCUAAUACCGCAUAAUACCUACGGGUCAAAGGAGCAAUUCGCUUAAGGAGGGGGUCGCGGCCGAUUAGUUAGUUGGCGGGGUAAUGGCCCACCAAGACGAUGAUCGGUAUCCGGCCUGAGAGGGCGCACGGACACACUGGAACUGAAACACGGUCCAGACUCCUACGGGAGGCAGCAGUGGGGAAUUUUGCGCAAUGGGGGAAACCCUGACGCAGCAACGCCGCGUGGAGGAUGAAGUCCUUCGGGACGUAAACUCCUUUCGAUCGGGACGAUUAUGACG